UACGUAGGGUCCAAGCGUUAAUCGGAAUUACUGGGCGUAAAGCGUGCGCAGGCGGUUUGCUAAGACAGGUGUGAAAUCCCCGGGCUUAACCUGGGAACUGCGCUUGUAACUGGCAAGCUAGAGUGUGGCAGAGGAGGGUGGAAUUCCACGUGUAGCAGUGAAAUGCGUAGAGAUGUGGAGGAACACCGAUGGCGAAGGCAGCCCUCUGGGCUAACACUGACGCUCAUGCACGAAAGCGUGGGGAGCAAACAGG
rnacentral:rRNA from 1 species